AUACGGAGGGUGCGAGCGUUACUCGGAGUCACUGGGCGUAAAGCGUCCGUAGGCGGUCGGGUAAGUCGGGUGUGAAAGCCCCGGGCUCAACCUGGGAAGUGCACCCGAUACUGCUCGACUCGAGUGCGGGAGAGGAUGGCGGAAUUCCCGGUGUAGCGGUGAAAUGCGUAGAGAUCGGGAGGAACACCAGUGGCGAAGGCGGCCAUCUGGCCCGCAACUGACGCUGAGGGACGAAAGCGUGGGGAGCAGACAGGAUUAGAAACCCUAGUAGUCC
rnacentral:rRNA from 1 species